rnacentral:rRNA from 1 species
AGAGUUUGAUCCUGGCUCAGAUUGAACGCUGGCGGCAUGCCUUACACAUGCAAGUCGAACGGCAGCACGGGAGCAAUCCUGGUGGCGAGUGGCGAACGGGUGAGUAAUAUAUCGGAACGUGCCCAGUCGUGGGGGAUAACGCGGCGAAAGCUGUGCUAAUACCGCAUACGAUCUACGGAUGAAAGCGGGGGAUCGCAAGACCCCGCGCGAUUGGAGCGGCCGAUAUCAGAUUAGCUAGUUGGUGGGGUAAAGGCCCACCAAGGCGACGAUCUGUAGCUGGUCUGAGAGGACGACCAGCCACACUGGAACUGAGACACGGUCCAGACUCCUACGGGAGGCAGCAGUGGGGAAUUUUGGACAAUGGGCGCAAGCCUGAUCCAGCAAUGCCGCGUGCAGGAUGAAGGCCUUCGGGUUGUAAACUGCUUUUGUACGGAACGAAACGGCUUCUUCUAAUAAAGGGAGCUAAUGACGGUACCGUAAGAAUAAGCACCGGCUAACUACGUGCCAGCAGCCGCGGUAAUACGUAGGGUGCGAGCGUUAAUCGGAAUUACUGGGCGUAAAGCGUGCGCAGGCGGUUAUAUAAGACAGAUGUGAAAUCCCCGGGCUCAACCUGGGACCUGCAUUUGUGACUGUAUAGCUAGAGUACGGUAGA